rnacentral:rRNA from 1 species
UACGGAGGGGGCGAGCGUUAUUCGGAAUUAUUGGGCGUAAAGGGCGCGUAGGCGGCCUUGUAAGUCAAAGGUGAAAUCCCUCGGCUCAACUGAGGAACUGCCUUUGAAACUGCAAGGCUUGAGGCCGGGAGGGGGUAGCGGAAUUCCCAAUGUAGCGGUGAAAUGCGUAGAUAUUGGGAGGAACACCAGUGGCGAAGGCGGCUCCCUGGACCGGUACUGACGCUGAGGCGCGAAAGCGUGGGUAGCAAACAGG